AAUACAGAGUCGUACAUGCGUUUGCCUGCAUCGCCUAUGUCAUUCAAUUCAAAUAACAUUAGUGUUUCGGGGUCCUCAGUUAUAGAUGGAUCCUGUGUUGUGCAGCAAAAUUCUCAACAGGACCAAAAUAUCCAACACAUACAGCAACAGACGCAGCCAGGUGCUUCACAUGCCACAUCAUUACCAACAUCACAAAUAGGCCAAGUAUCACUUCCGUUGGGCGGUAAACAUCAG
rnacentral:misc_RNA from 1 species